rnacentral:lncRNA from 1 species
UAACAGUCAAGAUAGUGAUGUACAAAAACAAGAAAGUAGCCAUGAAUUCUGCUAUUCCAGCUCUGUAAAAAGACCAUGAUGACAACUCUCCUGGCUCAAACAAAGGAGCUGGUGGUGGCUCCUUAUAAUCCUUGUCUGUUUGAGCUGCUGUACCCAACGGUUGUGUUUCUCUGUACUUGUUUGCUCCUAGCUUGACAUCUUCUUCCUUGUUCUCUGCCAUUUUUUUCUUCAGUCACUCAACUAAGCUUUCCCUCUCUCUCUGUAAAUGGAAUCCAAA